CCUACGGGAGGCUGCAGUGGGGAAUAUUGGACAAUGGGGGGAACCCUGAUCCAGCGACGCCGCGUGAGUGAAGAAGUAUUUCGGUAUGUAAAGCUCUAUCAGCAGGGAAGAAAAUGACAGUACCUGACCAAGAAGCCCCGGCUAACUACGUGCCAGCAGCCGCGGUAAUACGUAGGGGGCAAGCGUUAUCCGGAUUUACUGGGUGUAAAGGGAGCGUAGACGGUUAUGUAAGUCUGGAGUGAAAGCCCGGGGCCCAACCCCCGGACUGCUUUGGAAACUGUAUGGCUGGAGUGCAGGAGAGGUAAGUGGAAUUACUAGUGUAGCGGUGAAAUGCGUAGAUAUUAGGAGGAACACCAGUGGCGAAGGCGGCUUACUGGACUGUAACUGACGUUGAGGCUCGAAAGCGUGGGGAGCAAACAGGAUUAGAUACCCUUGUAGUC
rnacentral:rRNA from 1 species